rnacentral:rRNA from 1 species
GACGAACGCUGGCGGCGUGCUUAACACAUGCAAGUCGAGCGAGAGAAAUUCCUUCGGGAAGGACUCUAGCGGCGGACGGGUGAGUAACACGUGGGUAACCUGCCUCAUAGAGGGGAAUAGCCUUCCGAAAGGAAGAUUAAUACCGCAUAAGAUUGUAAUACCGCAUGGUAUAGCAAUUAAAGGAGUAAUCCGCUAUGAGAUGGACCCGCGUCGCAUUAGCUAGUUGGUGAGGUAACGGCUCACCAAGGCAACGAUGCGUAGCCGACCUGAGAGGGUGAUCGGCCACAUUGGGACUGAGACACGGCCCAGACUCCUACGGGAGGCAGCAGUGGGGAAUAUUGCACAAUGGGGGAAACCCUGAUGCAGCAACGCCGCGUGAGUGAUGACGGUCUUCGGAUUGUAAAGCUCUGUCUUCAGGGACGAUAAUGACGGUACCUGAGGAGGAAGCCACGGCUAACUACGUGCCAGCCGCCGCCGUAAGAC